GAUGAACGCUGGCGGCGUGCCUAAUACAUGCAAGUCGAGCGAACGGACGAGAAGCUUGCUUCUCUGAUGUUAGCGGCGGACGGGUGAGUAACACGUGGAUAACCUACUUAUAAGACUGGGAUAACUUCGGGAAACCGUAGCUAAUACCGGAUAAUAUUUUGAACCGCAUGGUUCAAAAGUGAAAGACGGUCUUGCUGUCACUUAUAGAUGGAUCCGCGCUGCAUUAGCUAGUUGGUAAGGUAACGGCUUACCAAGGCAACGAUGCAUAGCCGACCGGAGAGGGUGAUCGGCCACACUGGAACUGAGACACGGUCCAGACUCCUACGGGAGGCAGCAGUAGGGAAUCUUCCGCAAUGGGCGAAAGCCUGACGGAGCAACGCCGCGUGAGUGAUGAAGGUCUUCGGAUCGUAAAACUCUGUUAUUAGGGAAGAACAUAUGUGUAAGUAACUGUGCACAUCUUGACGGUACCUAAUCAGAAAGCCACGGCUAACUACGUG
rnacentral:rRNA from 1 species